UUCAUCUAAUUAAAUUUUUUAAAACUAUUAGAUCUCUAAAAAUAAAAUAGUUAUGGUGAUAACUAGAUCAUAGCCUCCCAUUAAGUUGGAUGAUAACGGAUCCAAUAGUUUGAAUGAUCAUUGGAGGUGCCACAUGCCUGAUGCUCAUCUAGCUGUCAUAAUUAUCAUUCAUAAUAUAUUGAUUUAGUUGUAUCUUUCUAAUGAUGGUC
rnacentral:lncRNA from 1 species